AGGGAAGCGAGAACCUAGAGUCUGAGAGGAAGAGAAAAAAAAAGUCCGAAGGAUCAAGGUUGAACAGGAAGAGGAGUUAGGAGUUCAGGUAGAACACUUACAAUAAUCAGGAAUAAGAUAUCAAUGAUGCGUGGGUUGAUGUGAGUUACAGUUAUUAUAAGGGUCGGCGGUUGGCGCAUUUUUGACAACCUUCUCCUCCUCAUCAUUUUUGCAUAUAGAUAAAUGUAUAAUAUAUAGAGUGGUGCGAGGGUCCCCCUACUGUUCAGAGUGUUUUGA